ACAGUGGUGGUUCAGUGGUAGAAUUCUUGCCUUUCGUGUGGGAGACCUGAGUUUGAUUCCCAGCCGAUGCG
rnacentral:tRNA from 1 species